UUGAUGAUUUCAGGUGCUUGCACUUGAAAGAUUUAACAUUGAGACGAGUGGCGAACUGGUGAGUAACACGUGGGUAACCUGCCCUUGAAGUAGGGGAUAACACUUGGAAACAGGUGCUAAUACCGUAUAACAACCAAAACCACCUGGUUUUGGUUUAAAAGACGGCUUCGGCUGUCACUUUAGGAUGGACCCGCGGCGUAUUAGCUUGUUGGUAAGGUAACGGCUUACCAAGGCGAUGAUACGUAGCCGACCUGAGAGGGUAAUCGGCCACAUUGGGACUGAGACACGGCCCAAACUCCUACGGGAGGCAGCAGUAGGGAAUCUUCCACAAUGGACGAAAGUCUGAUGGAGCAACGCCGCGUGAGUGAUGAAGGGUUUCGGCUCGUAAAACUCUGUUGUUGGAGAAGAACAGGUGUCAGAGUAACUGUUGACAUCUUGACGGUAUCCAACCAGAAAGCCACGGCUAACUACGUGCCAGCAGCCGCGGUAAUACGUAGGUGGCAAGCGUUGUCCGGAUUUAUUGGGCGUAAAGCGAGCGCAGGCGGUUUUUUAGGUCUGAUGUGAAAGCCUUCGGCUUAACCGGAGAAGUGCAUCGGAAACCGGGAGACUUGAGUGCAGAAGAGGACAGUGGAACUCCAUGUGUAGCGGUG
rnacentral:rRNA from 2 species